AACGAACGCUGGCGGCAGGCUUAACACAUGCAAGUCGAGCGCCCCGCAAGGGGAGCGGCAGACGGGUGAGUAACGCGUGGGAAUCUACCCAUCUCUACGGAAUAACGCAUGGAAACGUGUGCUAAUACCGUAUACGUCCUUCGGGAGAAAGAUUUAUCGGAGAUGGAUGAGCCGCGCGUUGGAUUAGCUAGUUGGUGGGGUAAAGGCCUACCAAGGCGACGAUCCAUAGCUGGUCUGAGAGGAUGAUCAGCCACACUGGGACUGGGACACGGCCCAGAGUCCUACGGAAGGCAGCAGUGGGGAAUAUUGGACAAUGGGCGCAAGCCUGAUCCAGCCAUGCCGCGUGAGUGAUGAAGGCCCUAGGGUUGUAAAGCUCUUUCACCGGUGAAGAUAAUGACGGUAACCGGAGAAGAAGCCCCGGCUAACUUCGUGCCAGCCGCCGCCGUAACAC
rnacentral:rRNA from 1 species